rnacentral:rRNA from 1 species
ACGGAGGGUGCAAGCGUUACUCGGAAUCACUGGGCGUAAAGGGCGCGUAGGCGGAGUAGUAAGUUGGAUGUGAAAUCUAAUGGCUUAACCAUUAAACUGCAUUCAAAACUGCUAUUCUAGAGUAAGGGAGAGGCAGAUGGAAUUAGUAGUGUAGGGGUAAAAUCCGUAGAUAUUACUAAGAAUGCCAAUUGCGAAAGCGAUCUGCUAGAACUUAACUGACGCUAAGGCGCGAAAGCGUGGGGAGCAAACAGGAUUAGAUACCCUGGUAGUCCACGCCCUAAACGAUGUAUGCUAGUUAUUAGAAUGCUAGUCAUUUUAGUAAUGCACCUAACGGAUUAAGCAUACCGCCUGGGGAGUACGGUCGCAAGAUUA